CCGGUUGAUCCCGCCGGAGAUCACUGCUAUCAGGAUUCGAUUAAGCCGAUGCGAGUCGAGGGAGCUUAUACUCCCGGCAUACUGCUCAGUAACACGUGGAUAAUCUACCCUCGGGAGGGGGACAAGCUCGGGAAACUGAGUACAAUACCCCAUAGAUCAAGGACGCUGGAAUGCCCCUUGGUCCAAAUGAAUUUCGCCCGAGGAUGAAUCUGCGGCCUAUCAGGUUGUAGUGAGUGUAACGGACUCACUAGCCGACGACGGGUACGGGCCUUGAGAGAGGUUACCCGGAGAUGGAUUCUGAGACACGAAUCCAGGCCCUACGGGGCGCAGCAGGCGCGAAAACUUCGCAAUGCGGGAAACCGCGACGAGGGAAUCCUGAGUGCCUAUACAUUUGUAUAGGCUGUUUAUAUGCCUAAAAAGCUUGUAGAGUAAGAGCUGGGUAAGACCGGGCCAGCCGCCGCGGUAAUACCGGCAGCUCGAGUGGUGAUCGUUAUUACUGGGCCUAAAGCGUCCGUAGCCGGUUGAGUAAAUCCCUGGGUAAAUCGUGCAGCUUAACUGUACGGCUUCCGGGGCGACUGCUCGACUUGGGACCGGGAGAGGUUGGAGGUACUCCAGGGGUAGGGGUGAAAUCCUGUAAUCCUUGGGGGACCACCUGUGGCGAAGGCGUCCAACUAGAACGGCUCCGACGGUAAGGGACGAAGCCCUGGGUCGCAAACCGGAUUAGAUACCCGGGUAGUCCAGGGUGUAAACGCUGCGGACUUGGUGUUGGAGGUUCUACGAGUUCUUCCAGUGCCGGAGAGAAGUUUGUUAAGUCCGCCGCCUGGGGAGUACGGUCGCAAGACUGAAACUUAAAGGAAUUGGCGGGGGAGCACAGCAACGGGUGGAGCGUGCGGUUUAAUUGGAUUCAACGCCGG
rnacentral:rRNA from 1 species